GACGAACGCUGGCGGCGUGCUUAACACAUGCAAGUCGAACGGAAAGGCCCUGCUUUUGCGGGGCGCUCGAGUGGCGAACGGGUGAGUAACACGUGAGUAACCUGCCCUUGACUUUGGGAUAACUUCAGGAAACUGGGGCUAAUACCGGAUAGGAGCUCCUGCUGCAUGGUGGGGGUUGGAAAGAGUCGGCGGUUUGGGAUGGACUCGCGGCUUAUCAGCUUGUUGGUGGGGUAGUGGCUUACCAAGGCUUUGACGGGUAGCCGGCCUGAGAGGGUGACCGGCCACCUUGGGACUACGAUACGGCCCAGACUCCUACCGGAGGCAGCAGUGGGGAAUCUUGCACAAUGGGCGGAAGCCUGAUGCAGCAGCGCCGCGUGCGGGAUGCCGGCCUUCGGGUUGUAAACCGCUUUCGCCUGUGCCGAAGCGUGAGUGACGGUAAUGGGUAAAGAAGCCCCGGCUAACUACGUG
rnacentral:rRNA from 1 species